rnacentral:rRNA from 1 species
UUCAAAGAUCCCUUCGGGGUGAUUUGUUGGACGCUAGCGGCGGAUGGGUGAGUAACACGUGGGCAAUCUGCCCUAAAGACUGGGAUACCACUUGGAAACAGGUGCUAAUACCGGAUAACAACAUGAAUCGCAUGAUUCAAGUUUGAAAGGCGGCGCAAGCUGUCACUUUAGGAUGAGCCCGCGGCGCAUUAGCUAGUUGGUGGGGUAAAGGCCUACCAAGGCAAUGAUGCGUAGCCGAGUUGAGAGACUGAUCGGCCACAUUGGGACUGAGACACGGCCCAAACUCCUACGGGAGGCAGCAGUAGGGAAUCUUCCACAAUGGACGCAAGUCUGAUGGAGCAACGCCGCGUGAGUGAAGAAGGUUUUCGGAUCGUAAAGCUCUGUUGUUGGUGAAGAAGGAUAGAGGCAGUAACUGGUCUUUAUUUGACGGUAAUCAACCAGAAAGUCACGGCUAACUACGUGCCAGCAGCCGCGGUAAUACGUAGGUGGCAAGCGUUGUCCGGAUUUAUUGGGCGUAAAGCGAGCGCAGGCGGAAUGAUAAGUCUGAUGUGAAAGCCCACGGCUCAACCGUGGAACUGCAUCGGAAACUGUCAUUCUUGAGUGCAGAAGAGGAGAGUGGAACUCCAUGUGUAGCGGUGGAAUGCGUAGAUAUAUGGAAGAACACCAGUGGCGAAGGCGGCUCUCUGGUCUGCAACUGACGCUGAGGCUCGAAAGCAUGGGUAGCGAACAGGAUUAGAUACCCUGGUAGUCCAUGCCGUAAACGAUGAGCGCUAGGUGUUGGGGACUUUCCGGUCCUCAGUGCCGCAGCAAACGCAUUAAGCGCUCCGCCUGGGGAGUACGA